rnacentral:rRNA from 1 species
UACGAAGGGGGCUAGCGUUGUUCGGAAUUACUGGGCGUAAAGCGCACGUAGGCGGAUAUUUAAGUCAGGGGUGAAAUCCUGGAGCUCAACUCCAGAACUGCCUUUGAUACUGAAGAUCUUGAGUUCGGGAGAGGUGAGUGGAACUGCGAGUGUAGAGGUGAAAUUCGUAGAUAUUCGCAAGAACACCAGUGGCGAAGGCGGCUCACUGGCCCGAUACUGACGCUGAGGCACGAAAGCGUGGGGAGCAAACAGG